GACAGAGGGUGCAAACGUUGUUCGGAAUUACUGGGCGUAAAGCGAGUGUAGGCGGUCUCUUAAGUCGGGUGUGAAAGCCCCGGGCUCAACCCGGGAAGUGCACUCGAAACUGGGAGGCUAGAGUAUCGGAGAGGUUGGUGGAAUUCUCGGUGUAGAGGUGAAAUUCGUAGAUAUCGAGAGGAACACCGGUGGCGAAGGCGGCCAACUGGACGAAUACUGACGCUGAGACUCGAAAGCGUGGGGAGCAAACAGG
rnacentral:rRNA from 1 species